rnacentral:rRNA from 1 species
UACGUAGGGUGCGAGCGUUGCCCGGAUUUAUUGGGCGUAAAGGGCGCGCAGGCGGCUCGGCACGUCCGUUGUGAAAUCGCCCGGCUCAACUGGGCGGGGUCAGCGGAUACGGUCGAGCUUGAGCAAGCUAGGGGGCAAUGGAAUUCCCGGUGUAGUGGUGGAAUGCGUAGAUAUCGGGAGGAACACCAGUGGCGAAGGCGGUUGCCUGGAGCUUUGCUGACGCUGAGGCGCGAAAGCGUGGGGAGCGAUCAGG